rnacentral:rRNA from 1 species
UACGGAGGGUGCGAGCGUUGUCCGGAAUCACUGGGCGUAAAGGGCGCGUAGGCGGCCUGAUAAGUAGGGGGUGAAAUCCUGCGGCUUAACCGCAGGGCUGCCUUCUAGACUGUCAGGCUAGAGCACAGUAGAGGCAGGUGGAAUUCCCGGUGUAGCGGUGGAAUGCGUAGAGAUCGGGAGGAACACCAGUGGCGAAGGCGGCUCACUGGCUCGACACUGACGCUGAGGUGCGAAAGCGUGGGGAGCAAACAGG